ensembl:lncRNA
CUUUAUUUAGGCCGUGACUUAAUCAGUGCACAGGUAAGGCAUAUGUGGUGAGCAUGUAGCGGUUGCCAUGGCAACAAAGGCACGCGUGUCCUUGUUGCUUACGGGCAAAAACAUCGCCAGAUUCGGAGACUAUAUAUAGUUUCUGAUGCAAAACAGGCACCCAACAUCCGGUUGCCUCAGGGAUGAGGGACUCCUCAUGUACACCAAAUGAUGGUGUGCAACCUUGCUCUUUAAAGCUAUUGUGUGAAUAAAGAUGCCUACAGCCUUUGAGUGGGCAGAAGAGAGGGAGGUGGGGCUUCAGUUCCGGAGAUUUGUAGUCUGAAGAGAGACUUUGAGAGAAAAGAGAAAAGAUGCCAUGGGGUAAAAGUUUGUGAGAACUGGCUGUGAGUGUUGGCCAGCUGGAGUAAGUGCAAGAACAGCCAAAGUGGAGCAUGGUAUGUCAUAUCUCAGGAUUAUUUACCGGGAAGCAGACAAAAUAGCCAUAAAGAGUUGUUAUCUGUCCAUCUCUAGAGGUAAUUAAGGCUUAUUAUAAACAUAUAUAUAUAUAUAAAAUAUGUUUUGUGUGUUUUAUCUGGGAACUGAAUGAUCUAAGAUGGGGUAGAAAAUACUGAUUUAUUAUUACUGCAAAAUGGAGGUUGUAGUAAUUCACUAUUUCACUAUUGACAAGAACUGAUAAACAAUUCUGGAUAUCUGUAGCACUAUUUCCUGACACAUUUCAAUCUUGAGGUUUCUGGCCUAAUCAGUGGAUUAAUUUCUAGGUAAUCUGUAAAAUAAAUAAAUUAUUGGAAGGUAAUAAAAGGUAGGAGUCUGAGUUUUUUUGGAGGAAGUUAGCCCCUGGUGUCGUGUCCUUGGAACACCAUCUGACCCUGACCCUUAGUAUAUCUACUACUCACAGUUUCUGCCUGCUAAGAACAGGCCCAUCACAUCUUUGUGAAGACUUGAUGGUGCAAGGCCACAAGGCCAAUAAAUCAUCUAAUAAUUCUCUGAAAUCAUAACAUAAAACUAAUACCUCUUCCUUACGUUGUUCUCUUAGGUAUUUAGAAUAUAAUAAUAAAAACCGACAGCUAACGCAGCUGAGGUGAAAAACAGUCUUCUACAAAUAUCCAUAGCUCCCAAAAUAAUAAUCACAAAUGACAGUCAUUUCAAUAUUUGCUAGGUACAAAUCAAUUAUCUCAGUCAAACAGAUUUUAUACUUUACUUUUAAUUACUGCCAAGUCUCGUGUUAAAAUGACUGGUAUAUUGAAAAUACUUAGUAAAAGCACACUGAAAGAAACAAAAGCAAAUGAAUAAUGAAUGAUAUGGGAUACAUUAAUAUCUCUUCUCCACUUGAUCUGACUUUAACAAAUUGAUUAUCAUAUCCAUUUCAAACACACCACUUGCUUUUUUCCCUUUCCAUUCUUCCCAUCCCAUGUUACUUUCUCUUCCACGACAAUCUUCAAUUAUCAGAUUUCUCCAACAGGUAUGUCUCAUUGCUAAAAUGUGUAGGCUUGCAGGUCAAGUGGCAAAUUUGACAAUCAUAAAAGCUUAUUCUCUCUGUUCCAGUUCCUAUAACCAAACCCUGUUUACUUUGUGCAUGUAGCAACAAGAAUCCAAACAAUCCUGUCUUAACUUUCCCCAGCUCAGCUCACCCUGUCAAGUGGGAGACUUCACAAUCUGUCACCCAGGAAGAGAGAGAAAGGGCCAGAAGUCAACUUGCAUUAGAAAAUGUGCUAUUACCAAGAAGCAUGUCACCAAGACAACCGAAUAGAACUGUCCAGAGUAUGUCCUUCUGCAGAAAUAUCAAUUGAGACAACUAUCCAGGCAUGAAAUACCUUCAUAAGAACUAAACAAAACAGAACCAUCCCUUUAUUCUUCUUCUUUCCCCUACAAUGAAGUGAUUCUUUACAACAUCCUGUGCUCCUUUUAAAGCCCAUUGGUUCCUUGUGGUGCUGUCAGAAUGUACAUGAGGAACGUCUACUGAAGAAAGGAAAGCCUCUCAGAAGCCAAAUACCUGAAGAAAACUCACUCUGCCUCUCAUAAGAAUCCAUCAGUGGCCAAUAUCACCUCAGUGUUUCCACAGGACGUAUCCCAGAUGAUUGAGUCGGGGGAAAGUCUACAAAAGUUUGGAUGUUGAUUAUUUCCUAAUAUCCCAGAAAUGAGAGGAAAGCCUAAACAUGAUCUAGGAUUAAGGAUACCAGCUUUUGCAGAAGAACUAAAACAACUACCCAUGUCUAAACAAGCAACUACUAGACUCUUGGGCUUCCCAUUCACAACUGCCCAUUGUUGGGUUAGCUGGACUACUGACUAGUCACCAGCCAACAAACAGGCAUUAAAUUCACCAUCCUAAGGAAAUUAUUCAUACUCAAAACAUAACAGCCAAAAGUCAUGCACUUGAAGACUUCUGUCUCUACUCCUCUAUUCUACGGAUAAAGUGAAACCAUAACUUUCAGGAAAAGAAAACAUGAGAAUGUAGAUUACAAAAGUCGGAACUGACAAAAUACAUAAAGACCAUGGGAUGGAAUUUACAUUUUGAGGAUGGCAGAGUAAUGAAUCAGAAAGAGCCUUUGACACCAACGACUCACAGGAAGUCCCAACAUGUCUCCUUAAUAUCUUCAUAGUGGUCAUAUCAUUUGAAUAUGAAGAAGAAAAAGAGCAGGUGGAGGUAUUCAACCAUGCCGUCAAUCAACUAUGCAAUGCAACUAUGCAAUGACCAAUUAAAAGAAUAAGAAAUCUAAAUGAAUAGAUCUUUUAUUAUUAAUUUCAUUUAAUACUGGUUAAGCAAGAGAGACAGUUGAAUUAGGGUUUUUAAAAUAACA